UACAGAGGUCUCAAGCGUUGUUCGGAUUCAUUGGGCGUAAAGGGUGCGUAGGCGGCGCGGUAAGUCGGAUGUGAAAUCUCGGGGCUUAACUCCGAAACUGCAUUCGAUACUGCCGUGCUUGAGGACUGGAGAGGAGACUGGAAUUACGGUGUAGCGGUGAAAUGCGUAGAUAUCGUAAGGAAGACCAGUGGCGAAGGCGGGUCUCUGGACAGUUCCUGACGCUGAGGCACGAAGGCCAGGGGAGCAAACGGG
rnacentral:rRNA from 1 species